CGCAAAGAGUCAGAGAUGACUGAGCAACUAACAGUUUCACAAUAUUUAGAUAAACAUGCUCACAAACACUGCAUAGAAUGACCUCAAUCCUGUUGAUUGCAUUAUUCAAAUUUUGCCCUAUUUUUUGUUUGCUCCUUGAUUCCUUGAUUCUAAAAGAAAAAUCUUAAACAUUACUGUGAGUUUGCCCAUUUCUCCUGGAAUUUCUAUCAAUUUUGCAUUUCAUAUUUUAAAAGAUAUGAUGCUAGAUGGAAGUUUGUGUUUAGUUGAGUCUUUACUCUUGAGACCCCCUGGACUAUAGCCUGCCAGGCUCCUCUGUCCGUGGGAUUCCCCAGGUCUCACUGCCCGUGUUCUUCCCCCAGCACUGUGACGGUCAGCAUCUAUUUCUUCCUUGUGACAAGAGGAGACCUUCUCUACUUGUAUUGGCUGCGUUCAUUCCUCUGCCCGCUCCCAGGGACACAAGCUGGGAUUUCUACAAGAACGACCAUUAAAUUUUCUUUUUACAUCAUGCCUCAACAGUGGUAAAACUUAGCUCUACGUUUAGUAGGUUUUUUUUGCUUCUGCAGAGCUCAGUCUAUGUGUGAAACGGGUCCUUCCCUCCCAUGUUCUCUGCCUGCCUUUUGUCUGUAGAAAAACUUCAGCCAAGAACAAGUUUAAUCAGAGAAGUGAAAAAAUACAAAAGCAGAGGAAAACAGUCAAAUGGGACAAAACAAAAAUAGUCAGGAAGCUGAGUCAAGGACCUUUAGUUCUUCCUCCAGUGCUAUAGAGGAUAUUCUGAGCCAUCUCCUGUGAGCUGUCCUGUAGAUACUGAAACCCCUACCAGGUGGAGAAGUUAACCAUUGGUGCAUAAUGACCAGAGUGUAGCUAUGACAUAAGCUGCCACAGUUCCAAGAACUGGCCUCAAGGAAAUGGGAACAAGCCGACCCUGGAAUUGAAGAUUAAUGUACUUGAGACAAUCCGGGUGACGCUGCUCAGACCACUGAAGACCAAUCACCAGAUGACAGUCAGAGCUGACUGCUGUUUCUGUGAGGAGUCCCUCCCUCUGUCCAUGAACGCUCUUGCCACCGAUUGUCAGUAAAGUGGGGGAAGUCAGCUUUUGGACAGGUGUCC
ensembl:lncRNA